rnacentral:tRNA from 2 species
GGGGACGUAACUCAAAGGUAGAGUAUCUGCUUUGCAAGCAGGGAGUUACUGGUUCAAGUCCUGUCGUCUCCA